rnacentral:lncRNA from 1 species
CUAGCCCAGUGGCUUCCAAACCUGGAGGGUCGGCCUAUUUUCUUUAUUCUACAAGUGCCUCCACAGUGCAGCAAAGUGUGGAAACCACUUGGCUUGAGAGAGCUGGGUCCUCUGGAGCAGUUCAGGGUCACCACAGAAGUAGGCCGUCUCUUGGGCCUAUUCGCCCCAGCUUCGAGGUGGUGGUGCUUUAUUAGUGUUAUUAAGGCUAGAGUGCAGUGGUGCGAUCUCGGCUCACUACAACUUCUACCUCCUGAGUUCAAGCGAUUCUCCUGCCUCAGCCUCCUGAGUAGCCAGGACUACAGUGUCAAGGUCAUGAAAGCCACUGAAAGACUGAGAACUGUUCCAGAAAGGAGACUAGAGAGACAUGGCAGCCAAAUGCUCCACAUAAUCCUGUCCUGGAUUCUUUUCCUACAAAGGAAGGGGUCUGAGGAUUAGGUGGUAGUACUGAAUCAAGGAACUAUCAUCUCCUAUUGUGCUGUAGGCAAACUUGAGUGACAUGGUGGAAGCCACCAGAGAGAAUAUCUGAAGCAAUUCAUUAAAAUCUUGGCAGCCAGACCCCAGCUCCCACUUUCCCUGAAAGCUCCCUUUAAUGAAGCUGAACGCUGUCCCAGCAAUUCCCUCCACAGAAGACCUACUGUCACCACCUCUGGAGGGGCAAUUCCUGGAGGAACCAAGUCAGCCAAUUGAAGGUCCUGAAUAAGCAAAAACUAAGUAAAUAAAUUACCAUCUCGAA